AUUGGUUGCUUGUGACACACGCCCAGCUUCUGCUGGCUUCUGCUGUUCCCUGGAGCUGAGGACCGGCCACAGCAGAAGACUAUGAAAACUGCUUUCUGGAAAGAUCUCGAAGCAGGAGCGUCCGCUUCACGCAACGCCUUGGAAGCAGUGGGUAUCGUUUUAAUUUUUGCCGAUUCAAUGAGUAGGAGUUGGUAUCUUACAGUAUUGGUUUGUGUGUCCGAUUCCUGGCUAUACUAUUCAUUUCUUCGUGUGUUUCUUUAGCUAUUUGAAAAUGUCCGUUAUAAAUUGCAAGGUCCCCUUUUUCUGGAGUGAGGGCCUCUGGGUAGUUGUCUGGCCCCUCAUGUGUUUGGGCCUCCGUCCCUCCUCCCCACGUGAUCGGGUUCUGGGAUGGGCCUCUCGAGACCUCUCUCCCCACCUCCCGAUCGAGAUGGCCCCCAAGCCCCCUGGGCUAUCAGCAACCUCCACAGGCUGGCGUCCCUGAGCCAGACUCUUGGGGGAGACGCUGUCCCUCAGUGAGAAGCGCCCAGAGGCCGGGAGGGUGGGGUUCCCACCUGUGGACAUAGAAAUCCCAAGGGCGUCCCAGCUGGAGCUCUUGAUGGGAUCAGUGCCCGGGAGGAGGACAGUCUCGGCUUGAGGACCGCAGGAGACACAGGGACACAGAUGCAGGUGAAGGUCCAGCCAGGUGAGGGCAGCCCAGGAAUCCAGAGGGGCCCGGGAGGGAGCCCGGCCUGCAGGACAGUGCCCUGUGAGGGCCCAGGGCCCAGGGAGGGGGAAAUCAGACCGUCGGAUAGUCUGGGGCAGCACCCGUGUGUGGGGCCAGGAGGCAGCGGGCAGCGGAGACCGGGGCUGUGGAGAGGGCAGACGUGGGGCUGCCUGGCCAUCCUGCUCCCACGUCUACCCUGCGUGGUCACUGGGCCCAGGAGCUGGUUUCCGGAAGACUGGACGCCGCCGAGGAAGGCAGUGUCUGCCCAGGGCGCGAUCUGCGAGCAGGACUGGGGAGGCCACAGACGGCCGAGCCCAAACUUCAAGGAGGGACGUUACAGUAGGUCUGGGGGUUCCAGUCAUGCCUUGGAGCAGUUUCUGGAACUUCAAGUGAGGCUCAGAGAGGACACUUUGCCUCCGUGUGGGAUGACGUGAGAGGAUGGGGAGGGGCCGGGAAUGGGUGCCCCCAGUGCCACACCCCUGCUCCCCUGCUCCCCUCACACAGACCUCGGCAGGAGGGUGGCAGGGUGGGGGAAACGGAGUCCUGGGCACAUGAAGUCCUCCUAGGCUGGAGGCCGAGCGGAGACCGACCCCUGGCUCCUUUCCUCCCUGCUGCUGCCACCAGGCCCCUCUGACGGCAACCCCUGCCUGUCCCCAGCCCCCCACGAGGUUCCACCAGCCUCUCCCCAGGGUGGCACCCUUCCCCCCUGGGGGAUCCAGGGCCCAUCGAGGGCUGGGGGUGGGGGUGGGGUGGUUGGUGAAAAAGCCCAGACCCCAGAGCAGGAGCCCAGAGAAAGUCAGAGGACAGUGGGCCCUGGGCUCCAGGGGGCCCUGACAUGUAGGGGGGUCCUCACAUCUGUCCACCUGGCCCCAGGGCCUGUGGGGGCAGAGGGCAGUCCUGCCCACACGCUGUCACUAGGUCCUCCCCGCUGCGGGCAUUCCCAGAACCGGUCAAAUUGUUUUCAAGGGGACGCACUCGAUUAACCAUCAACCUGGGAGAAUGACUUCUCAGUGGACUCUGGGCUGGUACUUUUCCAGAGGCACUGUGCCCCAGUCCCCACCCAGUGUCCCUGGGGAGAGUUCCCAAGCUGUGGCAGAAGGAGUCCAGGAACUCCACCUUUGCACCUGCGGCCUUAUGGGGGUCCCCCCGCAGCACCCCGCAAGGCACCAUCCCAGUUCCCAGUUCAGGCCCCUUCUCCCCAAUCCUCCCGCCCCCCCCCACCCAGGCUCAGUCCAGAGCACCCCCAGUGCCUUCCCGCACUCCCACCGCUCAGUGAUGUUCCAGAUCCCUCCUCAGGGCCUGAGGGACCCGGCCCUGGGGCUGCCCCCGACUCCCUCCCCACUGCGGACCCUUAGGUGCACGCAGAUGACACAGAGUAGGUCCAGGGGCUCUGCCUGUGGGAGGGGUGCCCCGAGCCCACACGUCAGUGCAUCUGUGCUCUCGAGCUGACCACGGAGGCUUCGGCAGGGCACCAGGGCGCAAGCCAGCUGGUUUCCGGGGAGCAGGGCAGCCGCGCGUGAGCACAUCGGUCACUAAAAGGACAUUUGGCUUCGGGCUCCUCGUGUGGACCUUUGACAGGCAGGGUGAACCUGUGGGGCAGCCUUGCUGUGAACAGGUGCACGUUCAGGAAUGUAGGUGGGGGUGGGGAGCGCGUUCAGCACCGUUUCUCCGGGGACCAGGGCUGGCUGUGCGCAAGGCACCAAGCUGCAGAACGCACCCGGAGCCCAGCGGACCGCGGGACGGAGCGGUGAUGCUCGCACCGUGCCCACCCGGGUUUGCUGUGCUCCCACGGCACUUACUCGCCUGCCUUCCACGAGGGGCCACAGCUGAGCAAACGGGGGCGCGUCUAUAUGGCCGUGCUCAUAACACCCCCCACACCACAGCCCGGGGCGGCCCUCCCACGGGGGUGACCAAGCGCUCCCCGGGCACCGCUCCGUGCGGGCGCCCUGUGUGCCUGACGGGACAGCAGACACCGGCCACGAUCACUGCCUGCGUCCGCAGAAGUGAGCAGGAGUGGAGAGGAGCCCGCGAGGAGCUCCAGGGACCCCACAGUCAAGGAUGACCACGGGAGUCAGGUCUGGAGAACAGGCCAGAGAGAUGAGCAGGGGGCAGGCCCGCAGGGGGGGGUUCAUCACCCAGAGAGUGAGAAUUAUUCCACGCCGGGAGGCGGGGUGAGGAGACCCCUCAAAGGUCCCGCCUGUGGGAGAAGUAUGAAUGGAGAGGGCAGGGGGAGGCCCUGGCCCAGGGAGGGAGCACUGGGGAUGGGCUCACUUGGGCACAGACGGGACCCGAGAUUGGCAAAGGGGAGUGGGCUAAGAAGACCCAUCUCCCAAGAUGCAGCUGCCCCGGUAUAGGUGUGGCAGGUGUCCUCCUGAAGACAAAGCUGCCCUCCUCCCCCCGCCCAGCCUCACCCCCCCCAGCACAGGUGCAGGCGUCCUUCUGAAGAGGCAGCCACCCUCCCCCCCAGCCUCACCCCCCCCCCAGCACAGGUGCAGCUGGUGUCCUCCUGAAGACGCAGUGCCCUCCCCCCCAGCCUCACCCCCCCCAGCACAGGUGCAGGCAUCUUCCUGAAGAGGCAGCCACCCUCCCCCCCAGCCUCACCCCUCCAGCACAGGUGCAGGCGUCCUCCUGAAGAGGCAGCCACCCCCCCCAGCCUCACACCCCCCAGCACAGGUGCAGAGGUGUCCUCCUGAAGACGCAGCGCCCUCCCCCCCAGUCCCAGGUGCAGGCAUGGCAGGUGUGCCCCGCGACUCCAUCGCAGCUGCUGGAGGACGCAGAAUGGAGGUGGCUGGGGGUCAGUGACCGCGGCUAGAAGCCAGAAUGGGUCUUUAAAAGGAGCUCAUGAAGACAGAAGUUAAUUCCUUCAGGAGAGUUGCCCUGACCGAGGGGAGAGGAGACCAGAACAAGCCAGGCGACAGGCAGGUGUUGGGUCCUCAGCCCACCUGCCCCUCAGGCUGUAGGGGAGAGGCCGAGAGAGGCA